rnacentral:tRNA from 4 species
CGGGAUGUGGCUCAGUCUGGUAGAGCACAGCGUUCGGGACGCUGGGGCCGGAGGUUCGAAUCCUCUCAUCCCGACCA